AGGAGAAGACCAACAGGGNAUUCCCCUAGUAACGGCGAGUGAAGCGGGAAGAGCUCAAAUUUGAAAUCUCACUGGUUUCCAGUGCGAAUUGUAGUUUCAAGAAGCGUUUUCGGGGACGACUUGGGUCCAAGUCUGUUGGAACGCAGCGCCAGAGAGGGUGAGAGCCCCGUUCGGCCCGAUGUUCGUUCCUGUAUGAUACGUUUUCAAAGAGUCGCAUAGUUUGGGAAUGCUGUGCAAAGUGGGUGGUAAAUAUCAUCUAAAGCUAAAUAUUGGCGAGAGACCGAUAGCGAACAAGUACCGUGAGGGAAAGAUGAAAAGAACUUUGAAAAGAGAGUUAAAUAGUACGUGAAAUUGUCAAAAGGGAAACGCUUGGAACCAGUAUUGGAUCUAGAUUAUCAGCCGCAAGGUGCACUAGUCUAGGUCCGGGUCAGCAUCAGUUUGGUUUGGAGUAAAAAGCCAGUGGAAGGUAGCUUCGGUGUUAUAGCCGCUGGUCAUGCUCUGGACUGGACUGAGGUCUGCAGCCGCCUUGGGGAAUAUGCCGCCUCGAAACACGCAUUGGUAGACAACUUGUUGAUUACUGGUGUUGUGCUAGAGCCCGGUGUAGUACCACUACCGGCUUAGGAUGUUGACGAAAUGGUUCUAAACGACCCGUCUUGAAACACGGACCAAGGAGUCCAACACACAUGCGAGUGUUUGGGUGGCAAACCCGAGCGCGUAAUGAAAGUAAAUGCAGGUGAGAUCCUUCGGGUGCAUCAUCGACCGGUCUGGAUUCUUUUGAAAGAUCUGAGUAAGAGCAUGUUUGUUGGGACCCGAAAGAUGGUGAACUAUGCCUGAAUAGGGUGAAGUCAGAGGAAACUCUGAUGGAAGCUCGUAGCGGUUCUGACGUGCAAAUCGAUCGUCAAAUUUGGGUAUAGGGGCGAAAGACUAUCNACCU
rnacentral:rRNA from 1 species